rnacentral:rRNA from 1 species
GAUGAACGCUGGCGGCGUGCCUAAUACAUGCAAGUCGAGCGAAUGGAUUAAGAGCUUGCUCUUAUGAAGUUAGCGGCGGACGGGUGAGUAACACGUGGGUAACCUGCCCAUAAGACUGGGAUAACUCCGGGAAACCGGGGCUAAUACCGGAUAACAUUUUGAACCGCAUGGUGCGAAAUUGAAAGGCGGCUUCGGCUGUCACUUAUGGAUGGACCCGCGUCGCAUUAGCUAGUUGGUGAGGUAACGGCUCACCAAGGCAACGAUGCGUAGCCGGACUGAGAGGGUGAUCGGCCACACUGGGACUGAGACACGGCCCAGACUCCUACGGGAGGCAGCAGUAGGGGAUCUUCCGCAAUGGACGAAAGUCGGACGGAGCAACGCCGCGUGAGUGAUGAAGGCUUUCGGGUCGUAAAACUCUGUUGUUAGGGAAGAACAAGUGCUAGUUGAAUAAGCUGGCACCUUGACGGUACCUAACCAGAAAGCCACGGCUAACUACGUGCCAGCCGCCGCGGUAA